GACGAACGCUGGCGGCGUGCUUAACACAUGCAAGUCGAACGGAAAGGCCCUUCGGGGUCCUCGAGUGGCGAACGGGUGAGUAACACGUGGGUGAUCUGCCCUGCACUUUGGGAUAAGCCUGGGAAACUGGGUCUAAUACCGAAUAUGAUCAUCGGCUUCAUGGUCGGUGGUGGAAAGCUUUUGCGGUGUGGGAUGGGCCCGCGGCCUAUCAGCUUGUUGGUGGGGUAAUGGCCUACCAAGGCGACGACGGGUAGCCGGCCUGAGAGGGUUACCGGCCACACUGGGACUGAGAUACGGCCCAGACCCCUACGGGAGGCAGCAGUGGGGAAUAUUGCACAAUGGGCGCAAGCCUGAUGCAGCGACGCCGCGUGAGGGAUGACGGCCUUCGGGUUGUAAACCUCUUUCAGCACAGACGAAGCGCAAGUGACGGUAUGUGCAGAAGAAGAACCGGCCAACUACGUG
rnacentral:rRNA from 1 species